GAUGAACGCUGGCGGCGUGCUUAACACAUGCAAGUCGAACGGAAAGGCCCAAGCUUGCUUGGGUACUCGAGUGGCGAACGGGUGAGUAACACGUGGGUGAUCUGCCCUGCACUUCGGGAUAAGCCUGGGAAACUGGGUCUAAUACCGGAUAGGACGAUGGUUUGGAUGCCAUUGUGGAAAGUUUUUUCGGUGUGGGAUGAGCUCGCGGCCUAUCAGCUUGUUGGUGGGGUAUGGCCUACCAAGGCGUCGACGGGUAGCCGGCCUGAGAGGGUGUACGGCCACAUUGGGACUGAGAUACGGCCCAGGCUCCUACGGGAGGCAGCAGUGGGGAAUAUUGCACAAUGGGCGCAAGCCUGAUGCAGCGACGCCGCGUGGGGGAUGACGGCCUUCGGGUUGUAAACUCCUUUCGCUAGGGACGAAGCGUUUUUGUGACGGUACCUGGAGAAGAAGCACCGGCUAACUACGUG
rnacentral:rRNA from 1 species